GGCCUGCUGGCUCAAUGGUAGAGCAUUGCUCUCCUAUCUUUCCCCAAAAGGUUGGAGCGUUAGGCAAAGGUUGAGGGUUCGAGUCCCUCGUGGGUCG